CUAACAACUAACAACUCUGUUAGGGACUUGGGUAUUAUGGAGUGCUCAAAGUCCCACAUCGAGUAGUAUGGGAUGCUUGAUGUUGUUGUAUAUAAGGAGAGUGGUUCUUCCCCCUUAUUAGCUAGCUUUUAAGGUAUGGUUUCCCACUUUCUUUAGAUACUUAACAAUGGUAUCAGAGCGUGGUUAUUAGCGCCAUGGAAAGGGCUACCUAUAAGCUAGAUUAAGGUAAAUAGUAUGGGAUGCUUGAUGUUGUAUAUAAGGAGAGUGGUUCUUCCCUCUUAUCAGCUAGCUUUUAAGGUGUGGUUUCCCACUUUCCUUAGAUACUUAACAAACUCAAUUAGCGGUUACUUAGAAGUUGGCACAAUACUCUUUGAAGGGUAACAUUUCAAAUAUAUUUCAUUUUU